rnacentral:rRNA from 1 species
UACAGAGGGUGCAAGCGUUGUUCGGAAUUACUGGGCGUAAAGCGUGCGUAGUCGGUAUUGAGAGUCGCGGGUGAAAUCCCAGGGCUUAACCCUGGAACUGCCUGCGAGACCUCAGUACUAGAGUGUGAGAGGGGAUAGUGGAAUACCCAGUGUAGCGGUGAAAUGCGUAGAGAUUGGGUGGAACACCGGUGGCGAAGGCG